rnacentral:rRNA from 1 species
CCUGGUAGUCCACGCCGUAAACGAUGAGUGCUAAGUGUUAGAGGGUUUCCGCCCUUUAGUGCUGCAGCUAACGCAUUAAGCACUCCGCCUGGGGAGUACGGUCGCAAGACUGAAACUCAAAGGAAUUGACGGGGGCCCGCACAAGCGGUGGAGCAUGUGGUUUAAUUCGAAGCAACGCGAAGAACCUUACCAGGUCUUGACAUCCUUAUGACCGCUCUGGAGACAGAGUUUUCCCUUCGGGGACAUAAGUGACAGGUGGUGCAUGGUUGUCGUCAGCUCGUGUCGUGAGAUGUUGGGUUAAGUCCCGCAACGAGCGCAACCCUUGAUCUUAGUUGCCAGCAUUCAGUUGGGCACUCUAAGGUGACUGCCGGUGACAAACCGGAGGAAGGUGGGGAUGACGUCAAAUCAUCAUGCCCCUUAUGACCUGGGCUACACACGUGCUACAAUGGAUGGUACAAAGGGCAGCAAAACCGCGAGGUUGAGCGAAUCCCAUAAAACCAUUCUCAGUUCGGAUUGCAGGCUGCAACUCGCCUGCAUGAAGCUGGAAUCGCUAGUAAUCGCGGAUCAGCAUUGCCGCGGGAAUACUG